UACGAAGGGGGCAAGCGUUGUUCGGAAUGACUGGGCGUAAAGGGCGCGUAGGCGGUUCGUUGCGUCAGAUGUGAAAGCCCCGGGCUCAACCUGGGAACUGCAUUUGAUACGGGCGGGCUUGAAUCCAAGAGAGGGUGGUGGAAUUCCCAGUGUAGAAGUGAAAUUCGUAGAUAUUGGGAAGAACACCAGUGGCGAAGGCGGCCACCUGGCUUGGUAUUGACGCUGAGGCGCGAAAGCGUGGGGAGCAAACAGG
rnacentral:rRNA from 1 species